rnacentral:rRNA from 1 species
GGCUGGAUAAGCCGAAGGUGAAAGUUUCGACUCCAAGUCUGGUAUCUUUGCUUCUCGGUAUUGAAAAAUAUCUUCCUAUUCAGUUUUCAGGGUGUCAAAACCCAUCACCAUUCCUGGUGUUGAUUGCGAGGGGGUACCACCUGUUACCAUCCCGAACACAGCAGUUAAGCCCUUCUGCGCCAAUGGUACUUGUCGGGUAACCGGCCGGGAGAGUAGGUCUUCGCCAGGA